rnacentral:misc_RNA from 1 species
UGAAAUCACCUCCUCCUCCAUACUCCUACCACUCACCACCUCCUCCUGUAAAAUCACCACCUCCUCCAUAUUACUACCAUUCACCUCCUCCACCAGUGAAAUCACCUCCUCCCCCAGUUUACAUUUAUGCCUCACCACCACCACCAACUCACUACUAGGCUCAGAAAGCUCAAUCAUAUACCAAAAUCGAUCAUGUAAGUUUUUUUUAACAUUUUGAUCAUUAUUUUCCAAAUUUUGUUAUUAUUAAUAAGACGAAUAAUUUUGAAGUAUAUAUGUAAUCUAACUUUCUGCCAUUUCCAUGCAGCAGAUUUUGGUGUCAGCAAUGUAAUAAAGGAAGGCUCCAAGAGGAAAACAUGUGGAUAUCAAGCUUCUAAUCCAAGACCAUUCAAUAAGGAUAUGAAUUUUGCACCAGUGAGCUGCAAUUUGAAUAAAUCAAGCCAGAAAGCUCCGAUUUCAAAGAUCGCCAUUUUGCAUCUCAUGCUCAUACUAUGUUCUAGUAAAAUUGGCAUCAAAGGUUUACUUCUGCAAAGGAAAAAAAAAAAAGGAAGUGAAAUUAGAGAUGGGGACUUGGAUUUGGAAGUAGCCGUUUCAGUUUGGUUUUUAUUUAUUAAUAUCUAAUUUAUUAUUGUAUGUAUAGCGUGCAGCCUUUGUUGUUUUCAUUGGGCUUCUCUCUAUUUAUUGUGAACAAUUCUUUCUUGGACCUUUUUGUGCUUUGUGCGCUGAGAUUGUUAGCAAUAAAACAACACAAUUUUCUCGCAAAUUUUAUUUGUCUCUCUCUCCUAGUUGUAUGUUCUUGCAACUCUUCAAUACUGCAAAAGUUUACCUCCCUUUUGCCUCUUGCCAAUUGUGUUGGAAUGCCAUAGGUGACCUAGAGCGAGAAAGGAGACUUCAAUAUGAGACUUUCAUCAUCAAAAUAGAAUUUAAGUCUUUCAUUAUCAAAAGGGAGAUUUUCCCUUGUUUGAUGAAAGUUGUCACAUUUCAUCACACUAUCUCCUGGUUGCAAAUGUACUAAAAUUGUGAAGAAUAAAAUAAAAUGUCAUGCUACUAUA